rnacentral:lncRNA from 1 species
UUACCGCACUGUUUGUUAUUCUAAGAACCAACGAUUGAGCCAGAAUCUGAAACGGACGUACCAAUUCUUUUCCAGUCCAUCGCAACUCAAUUUUGUGCUGUACGUACUGCCCGUACGACCAGUUUGAGGCUUCAUCAAUACCCAUGUCCAGACGAUCGAAUUCACCAAACUGGAGAUCAUAUUUCCCGUACUGAUUAGCAUUUUAAGAGCAACGGUCAAGACAGAUUUGGAUUCGGACGAGUGGAACUCAAG